UACGGGGGGGGCAAGCGUUGUUCGGAAUUACUGGGCGUAAAGGGCUCGUAGGCGGCCAACUAAGUCGGACGUGAAAUCCCUCAGCUUAACUGGGGAACUGCGUCCGAUACUGGAUGGCUUGGAUUUGGGAGAGGGAUGCGGAAUUCCAGGUGUAGCGGUGAAAUGCGUAGAUAUCUGGAGGAACACCGGUGGCGAAGGCGGCAUCCUGGACCAAUAUUGACGCUGAGGAGCGAAAGCGUGGGGAGCAAACAGG
rnacentral:rRNA from 1 species